rnacentral:rRNA from 1 species
GAGGUUAACUGAAUAAGGGAGCCGUAGAGAAAUCGAGUCUGAAUAGGGCGAUAGUCGCUGGGAGUAGACCCGAAACCGGGCGAUCUAGCCAUGUGCAGGAUGAAGGUUGGGUAACACCAACUGGAGGUCCGAACCGGGUAAUGUUGAAAAAUUAUCGGAUGACGUGUGGCUAGGAGUGAAAGGCUAAUCAAGCCCGGAGAUAGCUGGUUCUCCCCGAAAGCUAUUUAGGUAGCGCCUCGUGAAUGAUUACUGGGGGUAGAGCACUGUUUCGGCUAGGGGGCUGUCAUGGCUUACCAAACCGAUGCAAACUCCGAAUACCGGCUAAUUGAAUCACGGGAGACACACGGCGGGUGCUAACGUCCGUCGUGGAGAGGGAAACAACCCAGACCGCCAGCUAAGGUCCCCAAGUACUAGUUAAGUGGGAAACGAUGUGGGAAGGCAUAGACAGCCAGGAGGUUGGCUUAGAAGCAGCCACCCUUUAAAGAAAGCGUAAUAGCUCACUGGUCGAGUCGGCCUGCGCGGAAGAUGUAACGGGGCUAAAACUAGUCACCGAAGCUGCGGAUGUGCGCGAAGGCGCACGUGGUAGGGGAGCGUUCUGUAGGCUGAUGAAGGUGCAUUGAGAAGUGUGCUGGAGGUAUCAGAAGUGCGAAUGCUGACAUGAGUAACGAUAAUGUGGGUGAAAAGCCCACACGCCGGAAGUCCCAGGUUUCCUGCACGACGUUAAUCGGAGCAGGGUGAGUCGGCCCCUAAGGCGAGGCUGAAGAGCGUAGUCGAUGGGAACCAGGUUAAUAUUCCUGGACUUUUUAUAAGUGGUGAAGUGGGGACGAAGAAGGCUAGGUGAGCCAGGCGUUGGUUGUCCUGGUACUUGCAUGUAGGGGGGAAGACUUGGCAAAUCCGGUUUUCCAUAACUCUGAGGUGCGAAGUGGUUCUGACCUUUUGGUACAGAGAAGUCAUUGAUGCCCGGCUUCCAGGAAAAGCUGCUAGCCAUAACUUAUAGAGAACCGUACCGCAAACCGACACAGGUGGACAGGUAGAGAAUACUAAGGCGCUUGAGAGAACUCGGGUGAAGGAACUAGGCAAAAUGGUACCGUAACUUCGGGAGAAGGUACGCCCUUUUGGGUGAGGGCAUUUACUGUCUGAGCUUAAGAGGGCCGCAGAGACCAGGUGGCUGCGACUGUUUAUUAAAAACACAGCACUCUGCAAAUUCGUAAGAAGACGUAUAGGGUGUGACGCCUGCCCGGUGCCGGAAGGUUAAUUGAUGGGGUUAUCUUCGGAGAAGCUCUUGAUCGAAGCCCCGGUAAACGGCGGCCGUAACUAUAACGGUCCUAAGGUAGCGAAAUUCCUUGUCGGGUAAGUUCCGACCUGCACGAAUGGCGUAACGAUGGCCACACUGUCUCCACCCGAGACUCAGUGAAAUUGAAAUCGCUGUGAAGAUGCAGUGUACCCGCGGCUAGACGGAAAGACCCCGUGAACCUUUACUAUAGUUUUGCACUGGACUUUGAUGAUGACUGUGUAGGAUAGGUGGGAGGCUGUGAAGUGAGGACGCUAGUUCUCAUGGAGCCGCCCUUGAAAUACCACCCUGUUGUUAUUGAGGUUCUAACUUGGUCCAGUAAUCCUGGAUGAGGACAGUGUAUGAUGGGUAGUUUGACUGGGGCGGUCUCCUCCCAAAGAGUAACGGAGGAGCACAAAGGUACCCUCGGUACGGUCGGACAUCGUACCAAGAGUGUAAAGGCAAAAGGGUGCUUGACUGCGAGAGUGACGGCUCGAGCAGGAACGAAAGUUGGUCUUAGUGAUCCGGUGGUUCUGAAUGGAAGGGCCAUCGCUCAACGGAUAAAAGGUACUCCGGGGAUAACAGGCUGAUACCGCCCAAGAGUUCAUAUCGACGGCGGUGUUUGGCACCUCGAUGUCGGCUCAUCACAUCCUGGGGCUGAAGCAGGUCCCAAGGGUAUGGCUGUUCGCCAUUUAAAGUGGUACGCGAGCUGGGUUUAGAACGUCGUGAGACAGUUCGGUCCCUAUCUGCCGUGGGCGUAGGAAAAUUGAGAGGAGCUGCUCCUAGUACGAGAGGACCGGAGUGGACGAACCUCUGGUGCACCGGUUGUCACGCCAGUGGCAUGGCCGGGUAGCUAAGUUCGGACGGGAUAACCGCUGAAAGCAUCUAAGCGGGAAGCCUCCCUCAAGAUGAGUUUUCCCAUGAAGCCCGUUGAAGACUACGACGUUGAUAGGCAAGGUGUGGAAGCGCAGUAAUGCGUGAAGCUAACUUGUACUAAUUGGCUGAUUGUCUUGACCAUAUAAUCUGAG